rnacentral:rRNA from 1 species
AUGGCGCGGUUCGAGGUGAACGGCAAGUCGGUGGAGGGCGUGGACCUGCUGCGGCGGCGCCACUGGACGGCGCGCCUCGACUUCUGGCCCUUCCUCGCGCUCUACGCGCUCUGGCUGCUGCUCGCCGUCCCGGCGCUCGACUUCACCGACGCCCUCGUCAUCCUCGGCGUCCUCUCCGCCUCCCACAUCCUUGCGUUCCUCUUCACCGCUUGGUCCGUCGACUUCCGGGCGUUCGUCGGGCACUCCAAGGUUAAGGACAUCCAUGCGGCGAACGCGUGCAAAGUAAUCCCGGCGAAGUUCCUGGGGUCGAAAGAGAUUGUGCCUCUGCAUAUACAGAAAACUGUUGCCUCAUCGUCGACGUCAGGUGAGACGGAGGAGAUCUACUUUGAUUUCCGGAAGCAGAGAUUCUUUUACUCGGCAGAGAAGGAUAACUUUUUCAAGCUACGUUACCCGACAAAGGACUUAUUUGGGCAUUAUAUCAAGGGCACCGGGUAUGGAACAGAGGCCAAGAUUAACACUGCUAUGGACAAGUGGGGGAGAAACAUAUUUGAGUAUCCACAGCCCACAUUUCAGAAAUUAAUGAAGGAACAAUGCAUGGAGCCCUUUUUCGUUUUCCAGGUUUUCUGUGUUGGCCUUUGGUGUCUGGAUGAGUAUUGGUACUACAGUUUGUUUACACUUUUCAUGCUCUUCCUAUUUGAGUCUACUAUGGCAAAGAAUAGAUUGAAGACAUUGACUGAGCUUAGGCGUGUGAAAGUUGAUAAUCAGAUUGUGUUGACUUACCGCUGUGGAAAAUGGGUUAAAAUCUCAGGCACAGAACUACUACCUGGAGAUAUUGUGUCAAUAGGCCGCUCGCCUAGUGGUGAAGAUAGAUCUGUACCAGCAGAUAUGCUAUUACUGGCUGGAUCUGCCAUAGUAAAUGAAGCUAUUCUUACAGGAGAGUCUACUCCACAGUGGAAGGUCUCAGUUGCUGGCCGUGGCCCUGACGAAAUGUUAUCGAUAAAGAGAGAUAAGAAUCAUAUCCUAUUUGGUGGCACAAAGAUAUUGCAACACACGCCAGAUAAGUCUGUAAAUCUUCGGGCACCUGAUGGUGGUUGUGUAGCUUUUGUAUUGAGAACUGGAUUUGAGACUAGCCAGGGAAAAUUGAUGAGAACUAUCUUAUUCUCAACUGAGAGGGUUACUGCAAAUAGCAAGGAAAGUGGGUUGUUUAUACUAUUUUUGCUAUUCUUUGCGAUAAUUGCAUCAGGCUAUGUGCUUAUGAAGGGACUGGAGGAUCCCACAAGAAGCAGAUAUAAACUUUUUUUAAGUUGUUCACUUAUUCUGACUUCUGUGAUUCCUCCUGAACUGCCAAUGGAGCUGUCCAUAGCAGUUAAUACAUCUUUAAUUGCUUUAGUACGGCGUGGCAUUUUCUGCACGGAACCAUUCAGAAUACCAUUUGCUGGGAAGGUUGACAUAUGCUGCUUCGAUAAGACUGGAACAUUGACAUCGGAUGAUAUGGAGUUCCAAGGAGUUGUUACUUUGGAAAGCGACGCAGAAUUAAUAUCUGACGCAAAUAAGUUGCCUCUCCGCAUUCAAGAAGUGCUAUCCAGCUGCCAUGCAUUGGUAUUUGUGGACAACAAACUGGUUGGUGACCCCCUUGAAAAAGCUGCAAUAAAAGGCAUAGACUGGAUCUACACCUCUGAUGAGAAAGCCAUGUCUAGGAGGCCUGGUGGCCAACCUGUACAGAUUGUACACAGAUAUCACUUUGCUUCUCACUUGAAGAGAAUGUCUGUUAUUGUCCGUAUCCAGGAGAAAUUUUAUGCUUUCAUAAAGGGUGCACCGGAGACCAUUCAGGAGAGGUUAGUUGAUCUACCUGCUGCGUAUGUGGAAACAUACAAAAAAUACACGCGUCAGGGCUCCCGGGUCUUGUCUCUUGCGUACAAACUGCUUCCGGAGAUGCCUGUUAGUGAAGCUAGAAGUCUGGAAAGGGAUCAAGUGGAGAGUGACUUAAUUUUUGCUGGUUUUGCGGUCUUCAACUGUCCUAUAAGGAGUGAUUCUGCCUCUGUCUUGCUCGAACUGGAACAAUCUUCGCAUGACUUGGUUAUGAUCACCGGGGACCAAGCUUUGACUGCUUGUCAUGUUGCUAGCCAAGUGAAUAUCUGUUCGAAGCCGGUUCUAAUUUUAACACGGAUGAAGACUAGUGGAUUCGAGUGGGUUUCCCCCGAUGAAACUGAUAGAGUUCCAUACAGAGCUGAGGAGGUUAAAGAAUUAUCAGAAUCACAUGAUCUUUGCAUUAGUGGGGACUGCUUUGAAAUGCUACAAAGGACCGAUGCUGUUGUCCAAGUCAUUCCUCAUGUGAAGGUUUUUGCGCGCGUUGCUCCAGAACAGAAAGAACUUGUACUGACAACAUUUAAGACUGUUGGGAGGAUGACACUGAUGUGUGGAGAUGGAACCAAUGAUGUUGGUGCACUGAAACAGGCACAUGUUGGCAUAGCUCUGUUAAAUGCUGAACCGGUGCAGAAAGCUGGCUCGAAAUCUCAGUCAUCCAAACUUGAAAGCAAAUCAGGGAAGCUGAAAAAACCGAAACCUGCUAACGAGUCAUCAUCGCAAUUGGUUCCACCAGCUAGCAGUUCCGCUAAAGCACCCAGCAGCCGCCCCUUGACUGCUGCUGAGAAACAGCGCGAAAAGCUGCAGAAGAUGUUAGAUGAAAUGAAUGAUGAAAGUGAUGGCCGCUCAGCACCGAUUGUAAAGCUUGGGGAUGCAUCCAUGGCCUCGCCUUUCACAGCAAAGCAUGCCUCUGUUGCCCCCACGCUUGAUAUCAUCCGCCAGGGGCGAAGCACCCUAGUCACUACACUCCAAAUGUUCAAGAUUCUUGGACUCAACUGCCUUGCAACAGCAUACGUUCUCAGUGUAAUGUACUUGGAUGGUGUGAAACUGGGUGAUGUUCAAGCUACAAUCAGUGGUGUCUUCACUGCAGCAUUUUUCCUCUUCAUCUCCCAUGCUCGCCCACUUCAAGCACUGUCUGCAGAGCGCCCUCAUCCUAACAUCUUUUGUGCAUACGUCUUCCUUUCCAUUCUUGGCCAGUUUGCAAUGCACUUGUUCUUCUUGAUGUCAGCUGUCAACUUAGCAUCCAAGUAUAUGCCAGAGGAAUGCAUUGAGCCUGAUUCAGAGUUCCAUCCAAACCUCGUCAACACAGUUUCAUACAUGGUGAACAUGAUGAUCCAGGUGGCAACUUUUGCUGUGAACUACAUGGGCCACCCAUUCAACCAGAGCAUAUCGGAGAACAAGCCAUUCAAGUAUGCUCUCUAUUCAGCUGUUGUUUUCUUCACGGUGAUCACAUCGGAUAUGUUCAGGGAUCUGAACGACUACAUGAAGCUCGAGCCCUUGCCUGAAGGAAUGAGGAGCAAACUGCUGCUUUGGGCUAUGCUUAUGUUUUGCGGUUGCUAUGGAUGGGAGCGCUUCUUGCGGUGGGCGUUCCCAGGCAAGAUGCCAGCGUGGGAGAAGCGCCAGAAACAGGCGGUUGCAAACCUAGACAAGAAGCAGGCAUAG